rnacentral:lncRNA from 1 species
GUGAGGAUCAGAAUAUAUGAUGUGUAGAAAGAGUUUUGUUAAUCCUAAAGAACUAUCUGAAUGUGAGAGUGACCAGGGCUAUCUGAUUUCAUGUAGGUAAAAUACACAGUGAGAAAAAUUACAUCUGUUAUUUUCUACCUGCUGAAGAUGUAGGGAUCAAUUAUCAUGUGAGAUGGGGAAAAGAGAAUUCUAGAAGAGAAAUGGCUGAACACUCCAAUGGAUUCGGAAAUUGCCCACAAAGAGGUUGCUGGUUUCUCAAAAGGCAGUGAGGUAUAAUGGUCAGAGAGCUGUUCUCGAGUUAAGAAGAGCUCGGCUCAAGGUGUGUCUGUAACAUAUCCUAGUCAUGACAACUUGGGAAAUUCUUUAGGGCUACCUAUUAUAGAGAAGGUGCAGUAUCCAAGUCGAUAGAGAGAGUCCUUAAAGUCAGUGAAAUCCUAGCUACGAU